UACUUGGCAAUCUGUUUAAGAUCAUUGACAGGCCUGAGAGUUUUCCAAUAUGGCCUUCAACCUAAGCUCUAGGAAGAAAAUGUCCACAAUGUAACUUCUACAGGAUUAGAGGAAGGAGAGAGGCAGCAGAACUUCCGUUUUUGCUAGGAAUAUCCACCUCUGAGAGGGACAUAUCUAUCUGUGGGGAUGUCAUCUAGUCUGCAGAAAAUCCUUCUCUGGGAUUCCCAGAAAACAUGAAUCUGAGGAUCCUCCUCCUCCUGAUCCUCCUCCUAGACCUAAUUGUCUCCACUCCAGCCCUGCCCUUCUCAACACGACAUAUAGACAACCCCACGUCUCGGGUCCCCGGAGGACACCACCGAUAUUGUGAUGUGAUGAUGAGGCGACAGUGGCUGAUGCAUAGGGGUAAAUGCAAGCAGAUCAAUACCUUCAUUCAUGAGAAUCUGGCCACCAUUGCUAAUUUCUGCAGAACUCCGUCAGUGCCCUGUACCAGCAGCCGCUCCAUGUACAAUUGCCACAACAGUACUCAUGAUGUCGAUGUCACUGACUGCAUUGCCAGCACAGGGACCCGCCCCCCUCACUGCCACUACCACAAGAAGGACUCCACCAGGCCCAUCCGUGUGGCCUGUGAGAAGGGUGUACCUGUCCACCUGGAUGGCUAGGCUCCUUCUGGACUUGACACAGGAGGCAGAGUGACUUGUGCCCGACACCUCCAAAUCUUUGAAGUCCUGUCAAAAUCUUCUCUGUAAAUGCUUCUUCCCUUGCA